rnacentral:lncRNA from 1 species
AGGUGCUGUAUGUACCCUGAAAUUUGAAUUGGUGUAAAUAUAUAAGUAAUAUGUGAAGGUGAUGCCUAUGUAUACUCGCUGCAUUUUACAAAUCAUGCUAUUUAUGUGUUUAGAAGGUGGGUGAUGCAAGAAAUACGAUCAAGGAUUGCCUUUGCAGAUGAACAAUUCCAAAAAGGUGUUAUUCAGCAUAUUCCAACUUGUUUGAGAAUCCCCAUACCAACUGCAGAUGCACAACAGCGUCAGACUCUGUGUAUUUCCCCCAUCGUCUAUUCUCAAGAAGAGUUACGGGCGAGAAUACCUAAAGGCCACAGAGCUAAGUGGAUUGAAAAAAAGCUCUUAAACUCACGGAUGUGUGUUUGGGUCUGUAGUAAACUGUGCAGGUGUCAGGCUUCCUGUGAUGUCUCGUCAUUUAUGAGCAAACGUCUGACUCCAGAGAUGAUCAUGCCUGAGCAAAAAUGGAUCAUUCUCCCAUUUGUCGGCAAAGGUUGGGAAACUGGUUGGACAUAAUGUAACACAAAAAUUAUACUCGAAGCACGUCUAUAUUGUCCACCACGCUGCUGUAUGGUAGACUGGAUUGAAUAAACAGCUGCUGAGCAACGUUGCGGAUCAAUUCUCCUUUUGUUACACACACCAUUACACAGAAGAAGAUGCAUUCAUCAGUCACUGUGGACGUUGUUCUCAAUAAGAUGGGGGGGGGGGGAGAAAAAUCAAUUAUUGUAAAACACUACUCAUUUGAUGUAAGUGCAACAAAUAACGCUGAUAAAAUGCAGAGAGAGGCGUAAAAAGGUGGAUGGGAGACUGAAGAACGGCGACGCGCGAGUCGGGCCGGGACUGAAAAAUCCCAAAUUUAUACAGGUGUAAAUGUGUUUGUCUUUGCUAUCUCCAUGAUGAAUUGUUUUCCUGCCUUGCUGCCUUGCGCAUGCUAACCCCCCCACUCUGUGUACCUGAAUAGGAAAUAAGCAGGUAGCAAAGAAUAAAUGAAACCAAUUCAGUUUCACCGAGUGAAAAGAGAUAGAGGCGGGCUGCGUUUGCUGCAGGUGAACGUAGACCCUGUGGGAUGCUUUUUUUUUUUUCCUGCAGAUUGUGAACCACGGUGCAGGCAUGUUUGCCCAUAUUGACACAACUACACACUCUGAUUCUCUAGUCAUUGCGGCAGGUAGCUUGAGCUGGACUGCUUCAUUUGGAAAUCCAUUAAAUAACACACAGCAUAUAUAUCGACACACGACUCCAAAUUAUGUCAGACCACGGGUAGAAACAGCUCAUUUUUUGCAAUCCAGUGUGUUCUGAUAAAUAAUAGAUGGCCGAGAACUGUUGAUGCUCUCAGAGAUGCUCCCUCUAGUACAGUUUUAUUCAGAAUACGCUACAUUAACGGAAUGGUUUCAAAGUGCGUUUAAUGCAUGCAGAAAGAUCUCCAACAUGCCAAAUGAUUAUCAUCUAGAUGAUGAAAGGAUGAAUUGGAAAUUGAGAGGAAAAAAAACACACUUUUUCCUUUUUUUUUUCUAUUCUAAAAUAAAAUCAAAAUGGUAAUACCACUGUUAAAAUUCACCCUUUCUCUAAUGUCCUUGAGUGUGUGAGGUGUCAGGCGUAAUCUGUAAGAGUAAAUUGUCUGAGUGCAGCCUUAGGACCCUGAGGAUAUUGGACCUAGGCUGCUGCAGAGGUAGGUUUGUGAUUUGUAUGCACCCCAUCUGAUAGCGUCUCCUGGAUCACAGAUGGAUUAUUUAGGCUUUUCGUUCAGCAAAAGCUCCUUCUUUUGAUUUUUUCCCCUCCUUUUUUUUUUUUUUCCUACAUGUCCACAUCGUGUCUUCUCUUCUUUUUUUCUCUCUGUCUCUGCUCUCAUUGUUUGGUGCUUGGAUUCCUGGAAAGCACACACUGCCAGAGAUUUGGCUUUACCGGAGAAAAUGGAACAAUGACGAAGGAGGGAUAACCUGUGAGGGGUAAGUUGUGAAGUUGUGCUCGCAUUCAUAUUAGAGAGGCUUGGUUAGCGAACGUAGUAAUUUCACUACUGAGAGUGCACAUGCUUUUGGCAUAGACGGCUUCAGAGGGGAAUUGAAUCCGUUCCCUGAUCGUUGAUUCACGC